rnacentral:ncRNA from 12 species
GUGUUGUUUGAAAGGAGAGCAAGUUAGCACUCCCCUAGACAAGGAUGGAACACAUAAACGGUCGGCUGGGCACAAGACAAAGCCGACCACAAGUUUUU